UACAGAGGGUGCAAGCGUUGUUCGGAAUUAUUGGGCGUAAAGCGCGUGUAGGCGGCUUUGCAAGUCGGGUGUGAAAGCCCUCGGCUCAACCGAGGAAGUGCGCCCGAAACUGCAGAGCUUGAGUACCGGAGAGGAUGGCGGAAUUCCCCAAGUAGAGGUGAAAUUCGUAGAUAUGGGGAGGAACACCGGUGGCGAAGGCGGCCAUCUGGACGGAUACUGACGCUGAGACGCGAAAAGCGUGGGGAGCGAACAGG
rnacentral:rRNA from 1 species